rnacentral:rRNA from 1 species
AGUGAACGCUGGCGGCGUGCCUAAUACAUGCAAGUCGAACGGAAUUUAAAAGAGCUUGCUCUUUUAAAUUUAGUGGCGCACGGGUGAGUAAUAUAUAGCUAAUCUGCCCCUUGCUGGAGGACAACAGUUAGAAAUGACUGCUAAUACUCCAUACUCCUUUUUACCAUAAGAUAAAUCGGGAAAGAAUUUCGGCAAGGGAUGAGACUAUAUCGUAUCAGCUAGUCGGUGGGGUAACGGCCUACCGAGGCUAUGACGCGUAACUGGUCUGAGAGGAUGAUCAGUCACAUUGGAACUGAGACGCGGUCCAAACUCCUACGGGAGGCAGCAGUAGGGAAUAUUGCGCAAUGGGGGAAACCCUGACGCAGCAACGCCGCGUGGAGGAUGACACUUUUCGGAGCGUAAACUCCUUUUGUUAGGGAAGAAUAAUGACGGUACCUAACGAAUAAGCACCGG